AAUCUUUCUGGGUUUAUUGGCAAAGGAGAACACUCCGUGUUCCUGGUCUUCAGUGCAUUGAAACUUCUUUUCACAGGGGUUGUAUUUGUGUAUAUUUCAUAUAUACAUAUAAAUCCUUUUACAGGGAAUGAAAAAGACUCGAGUAGAUGCAAAAAAAAUUGGUCCUCUUAAACUGGCUGCCCUAAAUGGACUCUCCUUAUCUCGAGUGCCUCUGCCUGAUGAAGAAAAGGAAGUGGCUACCAGAGCAACGAAUGAUGAAAGGUGUAAAAUUCUGGAACAACGAUUAGAACAAGGAAUGGUAUUCACAGAAUAUGAAAGAAUUCUUAAGAAACGGCUAGUUGAUGGGGAGUGCUCAACAGCACGACUCCCUGAAAAUGCAGAAAGAAAUCGAUUCCAAGAUGUUCUUCCUUAUGAUGAUGCGAGAGUGGAGUUGGUCCCAACUAAAGAAAACAACACUGGUUACAUCAACGCAUCACAUAUUAAGGUCUCUGUCAGUGGAAUCGAAUGGGAUUAUAUUGCCACACAGGGACCAUUACAGAAUACCUGUCAAGAUUUUUGGCAGAUGGUAUG
rnacentral:sRNA from 1 species